ACCUGGUUGAUCCUGCCAGUAGUCAUAUGCUUGUAUCAAAGAUUAAGCCAUGCAUGUGUGUGUAUAGAUUUCUACAUAAUGAAACUGCGAAUUGCUCAUUAAUCCAAUUAUCGAUAGCGUGAUUGCGAGAUUCUACAUGGAUAACCACGGUAAUUCUGUAGCUAAUACAUGAUGCAGGGCCCAACUCAUUGGAAGGGCUAUUGUUAUUAGUGUAAGACCGAUACGGGCCUGGCUCGAACUUUGUUAAAUCAUGAUAAUUGAAUGGAUUGUAUUGCAACCGCAUUCGGCAUAUCAUUGAUGUUCUUGACCUAUCAGCUUCUGACGGUAAGAUAUUUGCCUACAGUGGCAAUGACGGGUGACGGAGAAUUAGGGUUUGAUUCCGGAGAGGGAGCAUGAGAAACGGCUACCACAUCUAAGGAAGGCAGCAGGCGCGCAAAUUGCCCAAUCAUGGCACAUGGAGGUAGUGACAAUAAAUAACAAUACAUGGCAUUGUUGUCUUGCAAUUGGAAUGAACCAAAUUUAAUAUCCAUGAUGAGUAUCAAUUGGAGGGCAAGUCUGGUGCCAGCAGCCGCGGUAAUUCCAGCUCCAAUAGUGUAUAUUAAAGUUGCUGCGGUUAAAAUGCUCGUAGUUUAAUAUCUGCCGAGGACGAUCGGUCCACCCACGGGGUGAGUAUAUUGUUUGGUCUUGGCAUAAAUUUGAAUUGUACGACUGUACUUGGCUGUGCUGUGUGUGUGAUUCAUGCAAUUUACUUUGAGGAAAUUAGAGUGUUUCCAGCAUGCAUAUGCAUCGAACACAUUAGCAUGGAAUAUUGAAUUCGGAUCACCGCUGUGUUCAAUUGGUUUUUAAAGCUGUGGUAAUGAAUGGUAGGGAUAAUUGGUGGCAUUCGUAUUUAAUAGUCAGAGGUGAAAUUCUUGGAUUUAUUAAAGACGAGCUGCUGCGAAAGCAUUUGCCAAUUAUGUUUUCAUUGAUCAAGAAUUAAAGUUAGGGGAUCGAAGACGAUCAGAUACCGUCCUAGUCCUAACAUUAAACAAUGCCGACUAGGAAUUGAAGGUAGUCAAUUGUACGAUUCCUCCAGCAUUUUAUGAUAAAUCAAAGUACUUGGGUUCCGGGGGGAGUAUGGUCGCAAGGCUGAAACUUAAAGGAAUUGACGGAAGGGCACCACCAGGAGUGGAGCCUGCGGCUUAAUUUGACUCAACACGGGGAAACUUAUCAGGUCCCGACAUAAUAAGGAUUGACUAAUUGGUUGCUUGCUCUUGAUUAUAUGGGUGGUGGUGCAUGGCCGUUCUUAAUUGGUGGAGUGAUUUGUCUGGUUAAUUCCGUUAACGAACGAGACCUUGGUCUGCGAAACAAUUAUGCAUAAUUACGGCUAUGUUCAUUAUUCCUUAGAGGGACGUUGUGCUUUUAGUACAAGGAAGUGUUAGGCAAUAACAGGUCUGUGAUGCCCUUAGAUGUUCUGGGCUGCACGCGCGUUACACUGAUACAGCCACCAUGUUAAAGAUCGUGCUUGGGAAGGUAUUGUAAUCAAUUUAAUAUGCAUCGUGAUGGGGAUCGACGAUUGGAAUUGUUAGUCUUCAACGAGGAAUUCCUAAUAAGUGCGAGUCAUCAACUCGUGCUGAUUACGUCCCUGCCCUUUGUACACACCGCCCGUCGCUCCUACCGAUCGAGUGAUCCGGUGAAUAAUCCAGACUUAUGCAAUGACCGGUACCCGAGAUUUGCGAUAUUAUGUUGUGUAAACCUUAUCACUUAGAGGAAGGAGAAGUCGUAACAAGGUUUCCGUAGGUGAACCUGCGGAAGGAUC
rnacentral:rRNA from 1 species